rnacentral:rRNA from 1 species
AACGGCCGUACCAUGCUGAAUAUACCGGUUCUCGUUAGAUCACCGAAGUUAAGCAUCAUUGGGCGCGGUCAGUACUUGGGUGGGUGACCACCUGGGAACACUGCGUGCCGUU